GCAACUUGUAGCUCAGCAUCCUUAGAGCCCCGCCCUUGUAAGACGGUCGUCGAAGGUUAGAAUCCUUCCAUUUGCA
rnacentral:tRNA from 1 species